rfam:Loxodonta africana unplaced genomic scaffold scaffold_5, whole genome shotgun sequence.
GCUCUGGUAGUGCAACAGUUAAGCACUCAGCUGCUAACUGAAAGGUUGGUGGUUCAUACCCACCCAGCGGCU